UCUCUUUCUCUAGCUAAUCGCGCCCAAUAGCUUUUUUUAUUUCCUAUUCAUCUUUCUUUUGUUUUUUGAUUACCCUUUAAAACUUGAAACUUCCAUGAUUUUGAAGAUCAAGGUACUUGUAGAAAGCGCAGUAAAGGUAAUGGUUGAAUGGCCAUCAAUUUAAGGAAAAUUUUUGUGUGCAUAUUUUAAAUUUUUCUUAUGGGUGAAUAGGUAUCUUAUUUCCUCAUACUUUUUUUGUCGACACUUGCUUCGGCUUGCAUCCAUCUCUAUGUCAAUCGUCACAUUGGAGUAAGUACACUCUCUAUGUUCUUUCCUUUUCAAUUUUACAAUGAUAUAUGUUAGUUUAAUUUAUUUAUUUUGGCGUUUCUUUGUACUCAUUUUGUAAUCAUAGGAGAUAAGGAUGAUUUAUUUGUUUUCUUUGUAUUACUCAUGAUUUGAUCUGGUUCUAAUUUGCGGUAGUACUUAAAGUAUUUUAUUCUAGAGGACAAAGCCCAUUUGGUGUUUGAUAAAAUGCCACAACAGAGGUGAUGUCACUUGAACAAAUUAUAUAUAAUGACAAUAUUGUUAACAAGUAGUCUUUAAAUCUUUAAAAUAUCAGAUAUCAGUUUCACACAUUCGUAUUAGUUUUAAUUCCUUUGUUUAUGAGUUAGGGUAGAUUCUCUUUACAUGCUAAAUUUUGAAGAAUAAUAGAAUUACCUCUGAGUUUAAUUAGGCUGUUAAGUUAUAUUUUUAUUCUUCAUCAAUGUUUUCAUUUGAAAUAUCUGUUAUCCCAAACAGAGAAAUAGAGGUUGAAUGAAAUAUGUAAUGAGAACAAAGGAGAUGCAAUAAAAGUACAAAGGAGAGAUGCAAUAAAAUAUAUGUAUAAUGAGAAUAAAGGAGAUGCAACGUCUAUAGCAUAAGCAGAGAUAAUGUGAACUUCUUUUGGUUUAGAGGUGAAAAUUGGAGAAAAUAAGACAAAGAUAGGAAACUGAUUGGUACAAUAAAGGUGCAAACAUUUUUGUUAUAUUUUAGCUUAUUAAGAGGUACUUCUCCUUAUAUUUUCUUGCCUUAGGUUCUGACUUCUACGUUUUUGUGAUGUUUUCUUUUCUUUUUUUAGGUGUUUGACAAAGAUGGUAACUUAAGAGCUUUAAGAGUGAGGUGGAAACAGUUUUGGAAUCACUAGAAUCAAGUCAGAUCAACAUACAACUGUUUGUUCCUAUUAAAUUUUGCACUUCCUUGCAGUUCUUGAUAUUUUUUUUAGAUUUUUAUCUAUUAUGCCUUGUAUUCAUGCAAACACUAAGAACACGUAUAAUGUGUAGUGGUUACAUUCACAUGGUUAACAAAGCCUCGCUCUCUGUUGUUGCCUUCCAAAUCUCUAUAGUACGUUUCUUUCUUUGACUCAUUUAUGAGAUGCACUCUUUAAUUGACAGUGAACCUGAUUUGUUAUUUUCAAUUACUUGGUUAUGUUAUGUUCUUGUGGUGAUAAAAUUGCUUCUUGUUGGUGCUCUGCAGCUUAUAUGUUCUUAUGUGUUGAAUGGGGGUUUUGGAUAAAAAAUUAAACUGGAUUUGAAACAUGUAGAUGUUGAAUAGUGUCUAGUAAUUCGUACAUUCUACUACAAUAUCUAUUAUAUACAUCCUUCAAAUUAAUUUUUUAAGUGCAAAUCAUAAUCUAUCAUACAGAAUUUGGCUAUCUAACAGCACUAAAAGCUAGCAUGAUCACCAUAGGCUUAACAUGCUACAUUAACUAAAUGACUUGAUCUGAUAGUUUAUUUCGAUUUCUUUAAGUUUGUACACACUUUAUGGUUACUAUUUCUUUCACGUUGUCCUAGUUUUCAAGUAUUAAGUCACACAAAAAUACCAAGACUAUCUAUCUUAACUUCUCGUCAUUAUAGAAAACUUCUCCGGAUGUACUUUAUAUAUGCAUAUCAGCCAGUCAUUGUCUUGCUUUAUAACUCUGCUUGUUUAGUGAUGUUUGAGUUACUUAAAAAAGUUUAUUUUUCACGAUGUGAAGGAAAUACUUGCACUACGCAAGAUGCAUAUAUGCCUACCUUCGAUUCCAUAAAAGAAUCUGGUGCAUCUAUUCCUUUAACAAGAACU
rnacentral:lncRNA from 1 species